GCUAUCUGCGAUAUGGAAAGAUUCGAACCURCCGCAGGUYCKGGWCUCACGYAGUGAGACAACGGAGCCGCUUGCGGCGACGGCCCGAAGGGCGAGCRAAGCGAGUCAUCCUGCACGACCCACCA
rnacentral:sRNA from 1 species